UACGGAGGAUCCAAGCGUUAUCCGGAUUUAUUAGGUUUAAAGGGUGUGUAGGCGGAGAGGUAAGUCAGCGGUGAAAUCCUAUAGCUCAACUAUAGAACUGCCGUUGAUACUGUCUUUCUUGAGUGUAGUUGAGGCAGGCGGAAUGUGUAAUGUAGCGGUGAAAUGCAUAGAUAUUACACAGAACACCAAUUCCGAAGGGAGCUUGCUAAGCUAUAACUGACGCUGAGGCACGAAAGCGUGGGGAG
rnacentral:rRNA from 1 species